UGGGGAAUAUUGCACAAUGGGCGAAAGCCUGAUGCAGCAACGCCGCGUGAGUGAUGAAGGCCUUCGGGUUGUAAAGCUCUGUCUUUUGGGACGAUAAUGACGGUACCAAAGGAGGAAGCCACGGCUAACUACGUGCCAGCAGCCGCGGUAAUACGUAGGUGGCAAGCGUUGUACGGAUUUACUGGGCGUAAAGGAUGCGUAGGCGGAUUUUUAAGUGAGAUGUGAAAACCCUAAGCUUAACUUGGGGACUGCAUUUCAUACUGGAAAUCUAGAGUGCGGGAGAGGAGAAUGGAAUUCCUAGUGUAGCGGUGAAAUGCGUAGAGAUUAGGAAGAACACCAGUGGCGAAGGCGAUUCUCUGGACCGUAACUGACGCUGAGGCAUGAAAGCGUGGGUAGCAAACAGGAUUAGAUACCCUGGUAGUCCACGCCGUAAACGAUGAGUACUAGGUGUAGGAGGUAUCGACCCCUUCUGUGCCGCAGUUAACACAAUAAGUACUCCGCCUGGGAAGUACGAUCGCAAGAUUAAAAACUCAAAAUG
rnacentral:rRNA from 1 species